rnacentral:rRNA from 1 species
UCAAGUUAUUAAGGGUGCAGGGCGGAUGCCUUGGCACUAGGAGCCGAUGAAGGACGUGAUAAGCUGCGAUAAGCUUCGGGGAGUUGCACGUAAACUUUGAUCCGAAGAUUUCCGAAUGAGGAAACUCACUUAGAGUAAUGUCUAAGUAUCAUUAAGUGAAUACAUAGCUUAAUGAGGGGAACUCAGGGAACUGAAACAUCUAAGUACCUGAAGGAAGAGAAAGAAAUUCGAUUCCGUAAGUAGCGGCGAGCGAACGCGGAUUAGCCCAAACCAAUAAAGUUUUCUUUAUUGGGGUUGCGGACAUAUCAUAACGAAGAGGUAUCGUAAUUGAAGAGGUUUGGAAAGACCCACCACAGAAGGUAAUAGUCCUGUAUGUUAAACGAGAAGACUUCAGAUAUGAUCCAGAGUACCACGGGACACGUGAAACCCUGUGGGAAGCAGGAGGGACCACCCUCCAAGGCUAAAUACUACCUAGUGACCGAUAGCGUAUAGUACCGUGAGGGAAAGGUGAAAAGAACCCCGGGAGGGGAGUGAAAUAGAACCUGAAACCCUGCACUUACAAGCUGUGGAAGCACAUUUCUUGUGUGACCGCGUACUUUUUGUAGAACGGGCCAACGAGUUACGUUAAGUAGCAAGGUUAAGCACUUAAGGUGUGGAGCCGUAGCGAAAGCGAGUUUUAACUGAGCGUUCAGUUACUUGACGUAGACCCGAAACCGGGCGACCUACCCAUGAGCAGGAUGAAGCGAAAGUAAAAUUUCGUGGAGGUCCGAACCCACGAGCGUUGAAAAGCUCGGGGAUGACUUGUGGGUAGCGGUGAAAUUCCAAUCGAGCCCGGAGAUAGCUGGUUCUCCCCGAAAUAGCUUUAGGGCUAGCCUCAAGGUGAGAGAUACGGAGGUAGAGCACUGAAUGUCCUAGGGGGUAUUGCACCUACCGAAGACUAUCAAACUCCGAAUGCCGUCAUCUUAUACUUGGGAGUCAGACUGUGGGUGAUAAGAUUCAUAGUCGAAAGGGCAACAGCCCAGAUCGUCAGCUAAGGUCCCUAAAUGUAAGUUAAGUGGUAAAGGAUGUGGGAUUGCACAGACAACCAGGAUGUUGGCUUAGAAGCAGCCACUCAUUCAAAGAGUGCGUAAUAGCUCACUGGUCGAGUGAUCCUGCGCCGAAGAUUUCCGGGGCUAAAACUUACUACCGAAGCUACGGCAUCAGUAAUGAUGGGUAGGGGAGCUUCCCAUACGGGUUGAAGCAUGACCGUAAGGACAUGUGGACAGUAUGGGAGUGAGAAUGUUGGCAUGAGUAGCGAGAUGUGGGUGAGAAUCCCACAGGCCGUAAACCCAAGGUUUCCAGGGGAAGGUUCGUCCGCCCUGGGUUAGUCGGGACCUAAGCUGAGGCCGAAAGGCGUAGGUGAUGGACAACAGGUUGAUAUUCCUGUACUACCGAUAACCGUUUGAGAGAAGGGAUGACACAGUAGGAUAAGCUAAGCACACUGUUGGUUAUGUGUGCCCAAGCAUUGAGGCAGUCAAAGUAGGCAAAUCCGCUUUGAUAAUGCUGGGAUGUGAUGGGGAGCGAAAUUUAGUAGCGAAGUAGCUGAUUUCACACUGUCAAGAAAAGUCUCUAUCGAGGUUAAAGGUACCCGUACCGCAAACCGACACAGGUGGGUGAGGAGAGUAUCCUAAGGCCAGCGAGAGAACUGUUGUUAAGGAACUCGGCAAAAUGACCCCGUAACUUAGGGAUAAGGGGUGCCACCAUCAGGUGGCCGCAGAGAAUAGGCCCAAGCGACUGUUUACCAAAAACAUAGGUUUCUGCUAAGUCGCAAGACGAUGUAUAGGAGCUGACGCCUGCCCGGUGCUGGAAGGUUAAGGGGAUCUGUUAGAGCAAUCGAAGCAGUGAACUUAAGCCCCAGUAAACGGCGGCCGUAACUAUAACGGUCCUAAGGUAGCGAAAUUCCUUGUCGGGUAAGUUCCGACCCGCACGAAAGGCGUAACGAUUUGGGCACUGUCUCAACAACAGACUCGGUGAAAUUGUAAUUCCGGUGAAGAUGCCGGAUACCUGCGACAGGACGGAAAGACCCCAUGGAGCUUUACUGUAGCUUGACAUUGGGUUUUGGUACUACAUGUACAGGAUAGGUGGGAGGCUUUGAAACCAGGACGCCAGUUUUGGCGGAGCCAUCCUUGGGAUACCACCCUUGUAGUACUGGGACUCUAACCAUAGGCCAUGAAUCUGGUCUUGGGACACUGUCAGGUGGGCAGUUUGACUGGGGCGGUCGCCUCCCAAAAGGUAACGGAGGCGCUCAAAGGUUCUCUCAGUACGGUCGGAAAUCGUACGUAGAGUGUAAAGGCAAAAGAGAGCUUGAUUGCAAGACAUACAGGUCGAGCAAGGAUGAAAAUCGGACUUAGUGAUCCGGUGGUUCUGCGUGGAAGGGCCAUCGCUCAACGGAUAAAAGCUACCCUGGGGAUAACAGGCUUAUCUCCCCCAAGAGUCCACAUCGACGGGGAGGUUUGGCACCUCGAUGUCGGCUCAUCACAUCCUGGGGCUGUAGUAGGUCCCAAGGGUUGGGCUGUUCGCCCAUUAAAGUGGUACGCGAGCUGGGUUCAGAACGUCGUGAGACAGUUCGGUCCCUAUCCGUCGCAGGCGUAGGAAAUUUGAGAAGACCUGUCCUUAGUACGAGAGGACCGGGAUGGACGUACCUCUGGUGUACCAGUUGUUCUGCCAAGGGCAUGGCUGGGUAGCUAUGUACGGAAUGGAUAAGCGCUGAAAGCAUCUAAGCGCGAAGCCAACUUCAAGAUAAGAUUUCCCACCGUAAGGGUAAGACCCCAGAAAGACUAUCUGGUUGAUAGGUCGAAGGUGUAAGUGCAGCAAUGUAUUUAGCUUAUCGAUACUAAUAGGUCGAGGACUUGACCAA